GGAUUGUGGCUCAGCGGUAGAGCAUACUCCUAGCACGUGCAAGGCCCUGGGUUCAAUCCUCGGCACCA
rnacentral:tRNA from 1 species